UACGUAGGGUGCUAGCGUUGUUCGGAAUCAUUGGGCGUAAAGCGCGUGUAGGCGGUCAGGCAAGUCAGAUGUGAAAUCCCUGGGCUCAACCGAGGAAGUGCAUCCGAAAACUGCUUUGGCUAGAAGACGGUAGAGGAAGGUGGAAUUCCUAGUGUAGAGGGUGAAAAUUCGUAGAUAUUAGGAGGAAUACCGUGGCGAAGGCGGCCUUCUGG
rnacentral:rRNA from 1 species